rnacentral:rRNA from 1 species
GACGGAGGGUGCUAGCGUUGUUCGGAAUCACUGGGCGUAAAGGGCGCGUAGGCGGCCUCAGGUGUCGGAUGUGAAAGUCCGGGGCUCAACUCCGGAUCUGCGGUGGGUACGGGCAGACUAGAGUGAUGUAGGGGAGACUGGAAUUCCUGGUGUAGCGGUGAAAUGCGCAGAUAUCAGGAGGAACACCGGUGGCGAAGGCGGUUCUCUGGGCAUUACCUGACGCUGAGGAGCGAAAGUGUGGGGAGCGAACAGG